rnacentral:rRNA from 2 species
UCAAUAAGCGGAGGAAAAGAAACUAACAAGGAUUCCCCUAGUAACUGCGAGUGAAGCGGGAAAAGCUCAAAUUUAAAAUCUGGUAGUUUUUUGACUAUCCGAGUUGUAAUCUAGAGAAGUGUUAUCCGCGCUGGACCGUGUAUAAGUCUCCUGGAAUGGAGCGUCAUAGAGGGUGAGAAUCCCGUCUUUGACACGGACUGCCAGGGCUUUGUGAUGCACUCUCAAAGAGUCGAGUUGUUUGGGAAUGCAGCUCAAAAUGGGUGGUAAAUUCCAUCUAAAGCUAAAUAUUGGCGAGAGACCGAUAGCGAACAAGUACCGUGAGGGAAAGAUGAAAAGAACUUUGGAAAGAGAGUUAAACAGUACGUGAAAUUGCUGAAAGGGAAACGCUUGAAGUCAGUYGCGUUGUUCAGGAAUCAACCUUGCUAUUGCUUGGUGUACUUUCUGGUCAAUGGGUCAACAUCAAUUUUGAUCAUUGGAAAAAAUCUUGAGGGAAUGUGGCAUCUUUGGAUGUGUUAUAGCCCUUUAUUUGUAUACAAUGGUUGGGAUUGAGGAACUCAGCACGCCGCAAGGCCGGGUUUUAACAACUACGUACGUGCUUAGGAUGUUGGCAAAAUGUCUUUAAUCGACCCGUCUUGAAACACGGACCAAGGAGUCUAACAUAUCUGCAAGUAUUUGGGUGGCAAACCCGAGUGCGUAAUGAAAGUGAAAAUUGAGAUCCUUGUCAUGGGGAGCAUCGACGCCCAGACCAGACCUUUUGUGACGGUUCUGCGGUAGAGCAUGUAUGUUGGGACCCGAAAGAUGGUGAACUAUGCCUGAAUAGGGUGAAGCCAGGGGAAACUCUGGUGGAGGCUCGUAGCGAUUCUGACGUGCAAAUCGAUCGUCAAAUUUGGGUAUAGGGGCGAAAGACUAAUCGAACCAU